GACCAAGGAGUCUAACAUGUGCGCGAGUCGCUGGGAGCACUCGCUAAACCCGGAGGCGCAGUGAAAGCGGGGCGCGGUCCUUCGUGGGCCGCCGUUGGGAGGAUGCCGUGCGGAGAACCCGCUUGGCCGCACUCCCGGGGCGCCUCGGCUCCGGCCGCAGGCGCACCCCGAGCGCACACGUUGGGACCCGAAAGAUGGUGAACUAUGCCUGGUCAGGACGAAGUCAGGGGAAACCCUGAUGGAGGUCCGCAGCGAUUCUGACGUGCAAAUCGAUCGUCAGAGCUGGGUAUAGGGGCGAAAGACUAAUCGAACCAUCUA
rnacentral:rRNA from 1 species